ACACGUAAGUUGCGAGCGUUGUUCGGAAUUAUUGGGCGUAAAGGGCAUGUAGGCGGAUUUGCAAGCUUGAUGUGAAAUCCCGCAGCUUAACUGCGGAACUGCAUUGAGAACUGCAAGACUAGAGUUACUGAGGGGAAACUAGAAUUCCAAGUGUAGGGGUGAAAUCUGUAGAUAUUUGGAAGAAUACCAAUGGCGAAGGCAAGUUUCUGGCAGAUAACUGACGCUGAGGUGCGAAGGUGCGGGGAGCAAACAGGAUUAGAUACCCUGGUAGUCCGCACAGUAAACGAUGUACACUAGGUGUUUGACCAUGAGGUUGAGUGCCAUAGCUAACGCAAUAAGUGUACCGCCUGGGAAGUAUGCCCGCAAGGGUGAA
rnacentral:rRNA from 1 species